GGAAGGAAGGAAGGAGGAAGCAGGCAGCAGACCCUCUGCCCAGACCAGACCAUCCAGAACAGCUAUUGCUAGCCCUCCUCUAGUUCAGUAGUGAUGGUUUCAUCUAAAUAAACAAUGAACAAUCUCCUAUGAACCAGAGACACAGGUUGUAACUCUGAGAGGAGCCUUCAGACAGCUCAACAACCAGAACUAACAAGGUGGGGCUGCUCUCAUGUGGUCUACAACAGCACACUCAAAGGCCCCAAUUUUAAGCAGCAAGGGGAAACGUAAUAAUGCUAUUGAGGCAAAUAAAGAAAAGAAGAAGAAAAACCCAAAGGCCUUCCUGACUCCAUUCCCCACCUGAUUGCACAUCCAGGAAUCUGCUCUCACAGCUAAUUUGCAGCCUUUCAAUUCAUGUGGAAAAAUUUAUG